UACAUCGGAACGUGCCCGAGAGUGGGGGAUAACGGAGCGAAAGCUUUGCUAAUACCGCAUACGAUCUACGGAUGAAAGCAGGGGACCGCAAGGCCUUGCGCUCAUGGAGCGGCCGAUGGCAGAUUAGGUAGUUGGUGGGAUAAAAGCUUACCAAGCCGACGAUCUGUAGCUGGUCUGAGAGGACGACCAGCCACACUGGGACUGAGACACGGCCCAGACUCCUACGGGAGGCAGCAGUGGGGAAUUUUGGACAAUGGGCGAAAGCCUGAUCCAGCCAUGCCGCGUGCAGGAUGAAGGCCUUCGGGUUGUAAACUGCUUUUGUACGGAACGAAAAGACUCUGGUUAAUACCUGGGGUCCAUGACGGUACCGUAAGAAUA
rnacentral:rRNA from 1 species